UACGUAGGCAGCAAGCGUUGUUCGGAGUUACUGGGCGUAAAGGGUGUGUAGGCGGUUCUUUUAAGUUUGGUGUGAAAUCUCCCGGCUCAACUGGGAGGGUGCGCCGAAUACUGAGGGACUAGAGUACGGGGAGAGGAAAAGUGGAAUUCCUGGUGUAGCGGUGAAAUGCGUAGAUAUCAGGAGGAACACCGGUGGUGUAGACGGCUUUCUGGACCGUAACUGACGCUGAGACACGAAAGCGUGGGUAGCAAACAGG
rnacentral:rRNA from 1 species